UGGUAGCAAUACCGAAGGAAGUCUAGCGGCGAACGGGUGCUUAACACGUGGGCAACCUGCCGAGAAGUGGGGGAUAGCUCGCCGAAAGGCGAAUUAAUACCGCAUGUGAUCAGAGAGGACAUCCUUUCGAAAUUAAAGUCGGGGCAACCUGACGCUUCUCGUGGGGCCCGCGGCCUAUCAGCUAGUUGGUGAGGUAAUGGCUCACCAAGGCUUUGACGGGUAGCUGGUCUGAGAGGACGACCAGCCACACUGGGACUGAGACACGGCCCAGACACCUACGGGUGGCAGCAGUCGAGAAUUUUUGACAAUGGGGGAAACCCUGAUCGAGCGACGCCGCGUGGAGGAUGAAGGUCUUCGGAUUGUAAACUCCUGUCAUUGGGGAACAAUGCGUGACGGUUAACUGCCGUUGCGUUGAUAGUACCCGAAGAGGAAGAGACGGCUAACUCUGUGCCAGCAGCCGCGGUAAUACAGAGGUCUCAAGCGUUGUUCGGAUUCAUUGGGCGUAAAGGGUGCGUAGGCGGCGCGGUAAGUCGGGUGUGAAAUCUUGGAGCUUAACUCCGAAACUGCAUUCGAUACUGCCGUGCUUGAGGACUGGAGAGGAGACUGGAAUUCUCGGUGUAGCA
rnacentral:rRNA from 1 species